GACGAACGCUGGCGGCGUGCUUAACACAUGCAAGUCGAACGAUGAAGCCGGAGCUUGCUCUGGUGAAUUAGUGGCGAACGGGUGAGUAACACGUGAGUAACCUGCCCUUGACUCUGGGAUAACUGCUAGAAAUGGUAGCUAAUACCGGAUACGACCCUCGGAGGCAUCUCCAGGGGGUGGAAAGAAUUUCGGUCAAGGAUGGACUCGCGGCCUAUCAGCCAGUUGGUGAGGUAACGGCUCACCAAGGCGACGACGGGUAGCCGGCCUGAGAGGGGAACCGGCCACACUGGGACUGAGACACGGCCCAGACUCCUACGGGAGGCAGCAGUGGGGAAGAUUGCACAAUGGGCGCAAGCCUGAUGCAGCAACGCCGCGUGAGGGAUGACGGCCUUCGGGUUGUAAACCUCUUUUAGUAGGGAAGAAGCGAAAGUGACGGUACCUGCAGAAAAAGCACCGGCUAACUACGUGCCAGCAGCCGCCGUAA
rnacentral:rRNA from 1 species